AACGAACGCUGGCGGCAUGCCUAACACAUGCAAGUCGAACGAGACCUUCGGGUCUAGUGGCGCACGGGUGCGUAACGCGUGGGAACCUGCCUUUAGGUUCGGAAUAACUCAGAGAAAUUUGAGCUAAUACCGGAUGAUGUCUUCGGACCAAAGAUUUAUCGCCUUUAGAUGGGCCCGCGUUGGAUUAGCUAGUUGGUGGGGUAAAGGCCUACCAAGGCGACGAUCCAUAGCUGGUCUGAGAGGAUGAUCAGCCACACUGGGACUGAGACACGGCCCAGACUCCUACGGGAGGCAGCAGUGGGGAAUAUUGGACAAUGGGCGAAAGCCUGAUCCAGCAAUGCCGCGUGAGUGAUGAAGGCCUUAGGGUUGUAAAGCUCUUUUACCCGAGAUGAGAAUGCCAGUGUCGGGAGAAUAAGCUCCGGCUACCUCCGUG
rnacentral:rRNA from 1 species